AUUGAACGCUGGCGGCAGGCCUAACACAUGCAAGUCGAGCGGAUGAAGGGAGCUUGCUCCUGGAUUCAGCGGCGGACGGGUGAGUAAUGCCUAGGAAUCUGCCUGGUAGUGGGGGAUAACGUCCGGAAACGGGCGCUAAUACCGCAUACGUCCUGAGGGAGAAAGUGGGGGAUCUUCGGACCUCACGCUAUCAGAUGAGCCUAGGUCGGAUUAGCUAGUUGGUGGGGUAAAGGCCUACCAAGGCGACGAUCCGUAACUGGUCUGAGAGGAUGAUCAGUCGCACUGGAACUGAGACACGGUCCAGACUCCUACGGGAGGCAGCAGUGGGGAAUAUUGGACAAUGGGCGAAAGCCUGAUCCAGCCACGCCGCGUGUGUGAAGAAGGUCUUCGGAUUGUAAAGCACUUUAAGUUGGGAGGAAGGGCAGUAAGUUAGUACCUUGCUGUUUUGACGUUACCAACAGAAUAAGCACCGGCUAACUUCGUG
rnacentral:rRNA from 1 species